rnacentral:tRNA from 1 species
GAGCUCAGUUGGUUAGAGUGUGGUGCUGAGAACGCCAAGGUUGCAGGCUUGAUCCCCAUAUGGGACA